GGCGUAGUUCAGUGGUUGAGCAUCAGCUUUGCAUGCAGAAACUCCUAAAUUCAAUCUCUGGCAUCUCCA